UCAAAAGGCCACUCACUUCCUCUGACUCGGCCAUGAAAAAGCCAUUUCUCAAGUUGCCUUCCACAAGAGAGAAUCCCUAAAAAGGCCAUUUUUUCCUCUGCCACUCUCAUUCAAACGCAGGUCCUCCUAAUCAUGGGUUAGCUUUUUAAUUUCUCAAUCACUAGAGGACAAUUUCAAGGGACAAGUCUUGUUAAGGUGGCUGCAUGAACAUCUGGAUGAUACACUACAUGAGAAAAUUAUAUUUGUUCAUCUAGGAAUGGUGUCCAAGGUUGGAACAAUAACCCCACAAAUUGAAAAAAGAGCAAAGUUCAUUGUUGAUCGCCUAAUUGACUCCAAAUUGGCAGAUUUGAUUUUUCUUCCGUAUAACCCAAGGUUUCAUUGGGUUUUGGCUGUAAUUGACCUCAAAUCACAAACAGUCUACUAUUUAGACUCACUAUUACAAUAGCCAUACCAAGAUAUAAAAGAUAUUGUGAACAUGGGGUUUCGAAUUUUUGUAUCUCAAAAGAAGAAAGGAUCUAAAAAAAAGCUCAAGUGGAUAGUUAUUGAGGGACCCAAACAGUUGGAUGGUGUCAUGUGCGGAUAUUUUGUCAUGCGAUACAUGCGAGACAUAAUUGCAAAUAGAAGUCUUCUAACAUCUCAGGUUUAUUUACCUAUGUAUUUUCAUAAGUACAUGAUAACUUAUACAUAUAUUUAAUGUUUCACUUUAACAUAUUUUCUCUUCUCAUAUAUUUUAGUUUGAAGGGAAAAAAACCUAUUCGUGAGCUGAGUUAGAUGAAGUGAAAUCUGAAUGGGUCUCUUUUUUUAGCACUCUUAUCUUAGACCAAGUAUAGUGGGUAUGUGAAUUUUAUAAUUUUUUAAUAAAUUCUCAAACAUAAAUUUUAAUUAAUGUUGCAUCUUUUCUCUUUGCAAGGUAUAGGGUGACAUUUGCAGUUGUUGCAAUUUUGAGAUUUCAAGAUCAUACGUAAGAUCUUAUUGUCAUGCAUAGAUGCUGAAGUUUUGGAUACUUUUAGGUGACAUUUGCAGUAGCUGCAGUUUUUACAGGAGAAGAUCACGCAUAAAUUUUUGUUAUCAUGUACAACUACUUGAUAUUUGGUUAUUUUUGGAAGGUUAGGUGGCAUUUGCAGCAAUUAUAGCACUUUUGAAGGCACAAGAUCAUGCAUACAUUAUAUUUAUCAUGUAUAACUAUUGGAUUUUUGGGUCCAUAUUUGCCUUUUUUUUUUUUAUGUAUAUGUGAUGAUAAUACAAGA